GACAGAGGUGCCGAGCGUUAGGCGGAAUCACUGGGCUUAAAGCGUGUGUAGGCGGACUUCUAAGUACCUUGUGAAAUCCCACGGCUCAACCGUGGAACUGCUUGGUAUACUGGUCGUCUUGAGCCACUUAGGGCAGUCGGAACAGACGGUGGAGCGGUGAAAUGCGUAGAUAUCGUCUGGAACGCCUGCGGUGAAACGGCUCGCUGGGAGCAAUCUGACGCUGAGACACGAAAGCCAGGGGAGCGAACAGGAUUAGA
rnacentral:rRNA from 1 species